rnacentral:rRNA from 1 species
GAGUUUGAUCAUGGCUCAGGACACACGCUAGCGGCGUACUUAACGAAUGCGAGUCGAGCGACGAAACCGGGCUUCGGCCUGGCUGAGAGCGGCGAACGGGUGAGUAACGCGUAGGCAACCUACCCUCGAGUUCGGGAUAGCCCCCAGAAAUGGGGGGUAAUACCGGAUACGUCCCGCGAUCUUCGGAGAGCGGGGGAAAGAGCACUGUUCGCUCGAGGAUGGGCCUGCGUCCCAUUAGCUAGUUGGUGAGGUAAUGGCUCACCAAGGCGACGAUGGGUAGCCGGCCUGAGAGGGUGACCGGCCACACUGGGACUGAGACAUGGUCCAGACUCCUACGGGAGUUAGCAUCGAGGGAUCUUGCACAAUCGGCGAAAGCCGGAUGCAGUGACGCCGCGUGGAGGAUGAAGGCUUUCGGGUCGUAAACUCCUGUCGGGUGGGAUGAAGCGCCCGCUUGGAAGGCGGGUUGUGGACAGUACCACCCAAGAAAGUCACAGCCAACUACGUGCCAGCAGCUGCGGUAAUACGUAGGUGGCGAGCGUUGUCCGGAAUUACUGGGCGUAAAGGGCGUCUAGGCGGCCUGGUUAGCGGAGUGUGAAAGUCCUAGGCUCAACCUAGGAAAGCCGCUCCGAACUGCCAGGCUUGAGUGCGGGAGAGGGCAGUGGAAUUCCCGGUGUAGCGGUGAAAUGUAUAGAUAUCGGGAGGAACACCAGUGGCGAAGGCGGCUGCCUGGACCGUUACUGACGCUGAAGCGCGAAAGCUAGGGGAGCGAACGGGAUUAGAUACCCCGGUAGUCCUAGCCGUAAACGAUGAGCACUAGGUGUUGGGAGCAUCGACCCUCCCAGUGCCGCAGCUAACGCAAUAAGUGCUCCGCCUGGGGAGUACGGCCGCAAGGUUGAAACUCAAAGGAAUUGACGGGGGCCCGCACAAAGCGGUGGAGCAUGUUGCUCAAUCCGACGCAACGCGAAGAACCUUACCAGGCCUUGACAUCGAGGGACCGUCCGUGAAAGCGGAUUUCCUUCACAGGACCCAAAGACAGGUGGUGCAUGGCUGUCGUCAGCUCGUGUCGUGAGAUGUUGGGUUAAGUCCCGCAACGAGCGCAACCCUCACCGACUGUUGCCAGCGGGUAAAGCCGGGAACUCUGUCGGAACUGCCGGAGCAAUCCGGAGGAAGGUGGGGAUGACGUCAAGUCGGCAUGCCCCUUACGGCCUGGGCUGCAAACAUGCUACAAUGGCCGGUACAAAGGGUUGCCAAACCGCGAGGUGGAGCUAAUCCCCCAAAACCGGUCCCAGUUCGGAUUGGAGUCUGCAACUCGACUCCAUGAAGUUGGAAUCGCUAGUAACGGCGGAUCAGCAACGCCGCCGUGAAUACGUUCCCGGGCCUUGUACACACCGCCCGUCACAUCACGAAAGCCGGUGGGAGCCGAAGCCGAUGGGCUAACCCUCUGGAAGGCAGUCGUCGAAGCUCAACCCGGCAAUUGGGAUGAAGUCGUAACAAGGUAACCGUA